UGUCACAGUCUUUGAGGCCGCUGGAGCGGACAGUCGCAAGGUGGAUCGACGGGAACGCCAAUGUGCAUCCCCUUGCGGAGCUUCACUUGGAUGCCGGCGCCCUUCCCCCUUCGUUGCCUCCAUGCACCAUGGCUGCCCUCCCGCAAUCCAGAACAAAGGUCGAAAUGCCGCCGUGCUUCAAGAGUCAAGUGCCAACGACACAGGCAGAAGUGGAAGAGCUGGAAGAAAAAGAACAAUUCUGCAUCAAAUGACAAAAGUGGUCUGUGUAUAAUCCGUCUGCGUUGUGCAUGUUAAAUGGUGAACAGGAGGGGGCAGAGUACUGAGCUUUGUGGUUUUCCUUGGUUGACUGUAGCAAUGGAAGGGAGUUGUUUGGUGGUAGGUCUGAUUGUAAUGAGGGCAGGCACGGAAAGUGUUGUUAGAGCUGGCUGUUGGACAUGUAGGGUUGGUUCAGUGGUCUUUGUGAAGAAGGAAGGUUAGAGAUGGUUCACUGCUUGUUUGGCUUGACUGGGUUGAGAGCAGCGCUGUUUUGAGUUGACGUGAAGGGGGAAGUCAUCAUUUUAAGCAACGGCAAACGUAAUAUUUUGUAUUGUUUCAGAUUGAAGACCAGAAAAUGGCAGACCACAAGAUGAACGGCUUCUUUUCCCUUGAGGCGAGUGUACAAUUAAUGCACAAUAACUUCUAUGACAACAUAUGUUCAGCUGUCUUUUUUUUAAUUUUUUUUUUAUUUAAGCAUUCUCGAACAAAGGUGGAAAUGUUGCCUUGCUUCAAGAGCCAAGCAUCAACCAUACAGGGAGAGUAUAUCUUUGUUCCACUUUGUUUGUAGCCACUAACUCACUGGGUAUGCACCAACUAACACUGACGAUGCUUGUUCAAUUCAAUUGUUCAACAAUGAAACUUAUUGAUCAGUAAAAUGUACUUUGAAAUAUUGUGCUUUUGGUGUUUGUGUUUUUUGUGGGGGUUGGAGAAAUGGCUCGUGACCAUAGGUGAGGGUGGCGGGAGCGCUGGAGCCUAUCCCAGCUCUCAUCGGGCAGGAGGCGAGGUACACCCUCAACUGGUUGCCAGUCAAUCGCGUACACACCUACGUGCAAUUUAGAGUUGUCAAUUAACCUACCAUGCAUGUUUUUGGGAUGUGGGAGGAAACCGGAGUGCCCGGAGAAAACGCACCCAGGCACGGGGAGAACAUGCAAGCUCCACACAGGCGGGGCCGGGGAUUGAACCCCGGUCCUCGGAACUGUGAGGCAGACGCUCUAACCAAUCGCCCACCGUGCGGCCUGUUUUUUUCAAAUGGAGUUAAAAUAAAGAUAAGUGAACGAAAUCACGAACUCAAUUAGUUAAGGUCAGUAACUCAGUGAUUAGUAGUGAUGUGUGUUUAUUUGGUUACGGUAAGUCGAUCACAUUGGGUAGGAUGAGUACACAGCACGUGUUGGCCUGAUGGGCAGAGCACUGGUUUACAAUCCUGGUUCAAA